GACAGAGGUGCCGAGCGUUAGGCGGAAUCACUGGGCUUAAAGCGUGCGCAGGCGGCUUCUCAAGUCAGGGGUGAAAGCCCAGAGCUCAACUCUGGAAUUGCCUUUGAGACUGAGUGGCUUGAGUACGAGAGAGGUGAGUGGAAUUCCCAGUGUAGAGGUGAAAUUCGUAGAUAUUGGGAAGAACACCGGUGGCGAAGGCGGCUCACUGGCUCGUAACUGACGCUCAUGCACGACAGCGUGGGGAUCAAACAGG
rnacentral:rRNA from 1 species